UACGAAGGGGGGCUAGCGUUGCUCGGAAUCACUGGGCGUAAAGGGUGCGUAGGCGGGUCUUUUAAGUCAGGGGUGAAAUCCUGGAGCUCAACUCCAGAACUGCCUUUGAUACUGAAGAUCUUGAGUGCGGGAGAGGUGAGUGGAACUGCGAGUGUAGAGGUGAAAUUCGUAGAUAUUCGCAAGAACACCAGUGGCGAAGGCGGCUCACUGGCCCGAUACUGACGCUGAGGCACGAAAGCGUGGGGAGCAAACAGG
rnacentral:rRNA from 1 species